CCGGGGCAGACGUCGGGGCCUGCACCUGAAGGGAGCCUGCCGCGCUGGCCCCAAGGAGGGGGCGUUGCCAUGGCGACAGCCUCUCCCGCAGCUGACGGGGGGCGGGGGCGGCCUUGGGAAGGAGGGCUGGUCUCCUGGCCCCCUGCCCCUCCCCUUACGCUCCCCUGGACUUGGAUGGGCCCGACUUGGGGGCAACACCCCGGGCAUUGGGGCUUUCCAGCUCUCACAGAACAUUCAGCAUCCCCUGCUGCCAGUCUUGGCAUCUUCGAAGUAAGGAGAGUUUUAGAUGCUUCUGGAUGUUCAAUGCUAGCACCUUUACAGACUGGAGCAGCUCGAUUUUCUUCAUAUUUACUUUCAAGAGCAAGAAAAGUGCUGGGCUCCCACUUAUUUUCUCCUUGUGGUGUUCCGGAGUUCUGCUCCAUAUCCACCAGAAAGCUGGCGGCGCACGGCUUUGGUGCAUCCAUGGCGGCAAUGGUGUCCUUCCCUCCCCAGAGGUAUCACUACUUUUUAGUGCUGGACUUUGAGGCCACGUGCGACAAGCCGCAGAUCCAUCCUCAGGAAAUCAUUGAGUUCCCCAUCUUGAAGCUAAAUGGUCGGACCAUGGAGAUUGAGUCUACCUUUCACAUGUAUGUGCAGCCCGUAGUCCAUCCACAGCUUACCCCCUUCUGUACAGAGCUCACUGGGAUUAUUCAAGCCAUGGUGGAUGGUCAGCCAAGCCUGCAGCAAGUGCUGGAGAGGGUCGAUGAGUGGAUGGCGAAGGAAGGCCUCUUAGACCCAAACGUCAAGUCAAUUUUUGUCACCUGUGGAGACUGGGACUUAAAAGUCAUGCUCCCAGGCCAGUGCCAGUAUUUGGGCUUGCCAGUGGCGGAUUACUUCAAGCAGUGGAUUAAUCUGAAAAAGGCUUACAGCUUCGCCAUGGGCUGCUGGCCCAAGAACGGACUUCUAGACAUGAACAAGGGCCUCAGCCUGCAACACAUAGGCCGGCCCCACAGCGGUAUUGGUCAGUCCCUCCGCAUAUCCCCCUGGCAGCUCGGCUAACUCCCUUGAAGUUGGGAAGAUGGCUUCGGCAACCUCAGAAAUUAUGUGCAGACAUGAAAACACCCACCAGAAUAUAAAGAACCAUUUUUCCCUCAUGUUUUUGUUUUUAAAAGUGAAGACAUUAUCCUUGGAGGUCUUUCAGCACACUUACCCUCACGUCUUAGUAGCCAGAACAUAUGCCCACCCUGAAACCAGGGAUCACCACAGUUGGCUCAGACCACAGAGGAUCUACCCUGGCUACAUCUGGCAGACGACUGCAAGAACAUUGCCAACAUCAUGAAGACACUCGCCUACCGAGGUUUCAUCUUCAAGCAGACGUCAAAGCCAUUCUGAUUGGCUGAGGAUGGGAUGGGGCAGGACAGGGUAGCUGCUUGGCCCAGCCCAGAACCCUCCUCUCCCUCACAGAGGGGAAAAGGGAGAGUGGCACAGCUCUACGUCCAGGGUGUCCCCCAGAUGCCCUGUGGGCUUGAGCCCCAGGCAAGGGCUUGGCCACUUGGCCCCUCUGGAGCAGAUACUUUGUGCCCCUCCCACCCCCGCCCCUCCACCUCAGCCCAGUAUUAGCCCCUCCCAUUGUGGGCCUGGGCUAGGGGGACCCAGGCACUCACUGCCUCCUCCCCGGUACACAGGCUUCUGCUGGGGCCACCAAGUCCCCCUGUGCCCCCUCCCAUCCGUAGUGCAUGGUGUGUGGUGCCCCCAGGGCUCCAGGACAGAUCAGGCCCCACCUCGUGUCUACCCCUAUCCCCGCUGUGAAUGUGCCACUGAAUAAAGUCGGGGAAAUGAG